rnacentral:rRNA from 1 species
GACGAACGCUGGCGGCGUGCCUAAUACAUGCAAGUAGAACGCAGUUGCGAACGGGUGAGUAACGCGUAGGUAACUGCCUCAUAGCGGGGGAUAACUAUUGGAAACGAUAGCUAAUACCGCAUUCUGUGUGAUGGACCUGCGUUGCAUUAGCUAGUUGGUGAGGUAAAGGCUCACCAAGGCGACGAUACAUAGCCGACCUGAGAGGGGGAGCGGCAGCAAUGGGACAUGUACACGGCCAGGAGUCCUACGGGAGGCAGCAGGAGGGAAUUGUGGGCAAUGGACGGAAAUCGGACCGGGCAACACCGCGUGAGUGGAGAAGGUUUUCGAAUCGUAAAGCGCUGUUAUUAGAGAAGGGGUAACUGGCCAGGAAGGGACGGCUAACUACGUGCCAGCCGCCGCGGUAAUAC